CGCACAUUGCGCCCUUUGGCAUUCCGAAGGGCAUGCCCGUUCGAGCGUCAUUAAAUCCACUCAAGCCUAGCUUGGUAUUGGGCGCCGGGGACUCCCCGCGCCUCCAUUUCGCCGGCUGGCCGUCGUUUGACUUAGCGUUGUGACACAUGUCGCUAACGACGAAGGCGGACCGCGCCGUGAGAAUUCUCUUGGGUAUCACUCGAUAUUCAGUAAAGGUUGACCUCGGAUCGGGUAGGAAUACCCGCUGAACUUAA
rnacentral:misc_RNA from 1 species